GAAGGAGACGGUGUGACCUGCAACCCGAAAGCAAUCAAAGGACAAAUAUGUACACAGACUUCAGACUGUAUCCGAGACAACUUCAUCUGCUCCUCAGGCCUGUGCGACUGUGACGUUGGCUACAGCUACGACAACACUUCCGGCACCUGCGUCACCACAUGCAGCAACUACGGUACUGACUUCAGCCACCAAUCAACCACCUACUGCAUUUCUGGCUACAACAACGCCGUUAAAAGCGUCAACACCUACAGCGCUUGCAGAGACUACUGCUUGAAGGCCUCGUCCUUCAUCUGCAAGACCUUCGAGCUCUGGAGCGGCAAGUGUUACCUUUCAGCAGUUAGUAAAACUGAAGUUCCAGCCUCCAAAUGGUCAGCGUGGACGGGAUGCAAAUACUAUCAGCGUCACUGUGCUUAGUGACGUGGAAAGCACGCAAAUACUAUCAGCGUCAUUGUGCUUAGUGACGUGGAAAGGACGCAAAUACUUUCAGCGUCAUUGUGCUUAGUGACGUGGAAAGGACGCAAAUACCUUCAGGUCACUGUACUUAGUGACGUGGAUUUGAUGCAAAUACUUUCAGCGUCACUGUGCUUAGUGACGUGGAAAGGACGCAAAUA